rnacentral:rRNA from 1 species
UACGUAGGGGGCUAGCGUUGUCCGGAUUUAUUGGGCGUAAAGAGCUCGUAGGCGGUCUGUCGCGUCUGCUGUGAAAACUCAGGGCUUAACCCUGAGCUUGCAGUGGGUACGGGCAGACUAGAGUGCGGUAGGGGAGACUGGAAUUCCUGGUGUAGCGGUGAAAUGCGCAGAUAUCAGGAGGAACACCGGUGGCGAAGGCGGGUCUCUGGGCCGAUAUUGACGCUGAGGAGCGAAAGCGUGGGGAGCGAACAGG